rnacentral:lncRNA from 1 species
AUGCAGAUUCCCAUUCUCCGUGCUGAAUUCGUUGAUGAUUUAUAUGCACUUGAACAUUCGAGAACUCAUGAGACUCACCAUGCACGCUGGGCUGGAAAGUCAUUAAAAGUGCAGAAGCAUGGCAUGUUAUGGUGCUCUGUGUCGCAGAACCCCCAGGCAACCCGAAGGCAACACAGAUUGAUAAAGAAACUGUACUUCAUACUUCAAAAACCUCAGAAUGAAUCCUAUGCCCUUGAGAUCCAGCAAUUCCACUUCCAGGUAAGUUAUCCUAAGGAUGUAAUUAUGGAUUUGUGGAAGCUUCAAUACUGUUCAUCAUACUGUGGUUUAAAAUAGAAAACUGGGAACACCGGCAAGAAAGGAGGAGUUGAACAAAUAUUGGUACAUCUCCAAAUAUGGAAUAUGGGGAAGUCCCAUAUAUCAUAGAAGGAAAUUGCUUAUAUGGAAAAAGUGUUCAUGAUAUAUUACUAAGUGGAACAUACAUACAUACAUUCAGCCUCUAAUAUCUCCAUUCGUGUCAUAGGAAGACUUUCUGGGAGCCUCUGAAUGGGAGGGACACCAUUGUGCCUACGAUCAUCUACAGUUCACCUGUGGCAUUCACCUGUCCCUUCUCU